AGGUUAAGCACUUAAGGUGUGGAGCCGUAGCGAAAGCGAGUCUUAAAUGGGCGUCCAGUUACCCGACGUAGACCCGAAACCAGGCGACCUAUCCAUGAGCAGGUUGAAGCGAAAGUAAAAUUUCGUGGAGGACCGAACCCACGUACGUUGAAAAGUGCGGGGAUGACUUGUGGAUAGCGGUGAAAUUCCAAUCGAGCCUGGAGAUAGCUGGUUCUCCCCGAAAUAGCUUUAGGGCUAGCCUCAAGCUUAGAGAAACGGAGGUAGAGCACUGAAUGUCCUAGGGGGUAUUGCACUUACCGAAGACUAUCAAACUCCGAAUGCCGUAUUCUUUUGCUUGGGAGUCAGACUAUGGGUGAUAAGAUUCAUAGUCAAGAGGGCAACAGCCCAGAUCGUCAGCUAAGGUCCCUAAAUGUAAGUUAAGUGGUAAAGGAUGUGGAAUUGCACAGACAACCAGGAUGUUGGCUUAGAAGCAGCCACUCAUUUAAAGAGUGCGUAAUAGCUCACUGGUCGAGUGAUUCUGCGCCGAAAAUUUCCGGGGCUAAAACUUACUACCGAAGCUACGGCAUCAUUAUGAUGGGUAGGGGAGCUUUCUAUGUGGCUUGAAGCAUGACCGUAAGGACAUGUGGACUGCAUAGAAGUGAGAAUGUUGGCAUGAGUAGCGAGAUGUGGGUGAGAAUCCCACAGGCCGUAAACCCAAGGUUUCCAGGGGAAGGUUCGUCCGCCCUGGGUUAGUCAGGACCUAAGCCGAGGCCGAAAGGCGUAGGUGAUGGACAACAGGUUGAUAUUCCUGUACCACCAAUAACCGUUUGAGAAAUGGGAUGACACAGUAGGAUAAGCUAACCGCACUGUUGGUUAUGUGCGGGCAAGUAUUGAGGCAGUUCCGAUAGGCAAAUCCGUCGGAAUAAUGCUGGGGUACGAUGCGGAGCGAAAUUUAGUAGCGAAGUAGCUGAUUUCACACUGUCGAGAAAAGUCUCUAUCGAGGUUAAAGGUGCCUGUACCGCAAACCGACACAGGUGGGUGAGGAGAGUAUCCUAAGGCCAGCGAGAGAACUGUUGUUAAGGAACUCGGCAAAAUGACCCCGUAACUUCGGGAGAAGGGGUGCCUUCGAAAGAAGGCCGCAGAGAAUAGGCCCAAGCGACUGUUUACCAAAAACAUAGGUUUCUGCUAAGUCGCAAGACGAUGUAUAGGAGCUGACGCCUGCCCGGUGCUGGAAGGUUAAGGGGAUCUGUUAGAGCAAUCGAAGCAGUGAACUUAAGCCCCAGUAAACGGCGGCCGUAACUAUAACGGUCCUAAGGUAGCGAAAUUCCUUGUCGGGUAAGUUCCGACCCGCACGAAAGGCGUAACGAUUUGGGCACUGUCUCAACAACAGACUCGGUGAAAUUGUAAUACCGGUGAAGAUGCCGGUUACCUGCGACAGGACGGAAAGACCCCAUGGAGCUUUACUGUAGCUUGACAUUGAGUCUCGGUGCUACAUGUACAGGAUAGGUGGGAGACUAUGAAGCAUGGACGUCAGUCUGUGUGGAGUCAUCCUUGGGAUACCACCCUUGUAGUACUGGGAUUCUAACCAGAGGCCAUGAAUCUGGUCUUGGGACACUGUCAGGUGGACAGUUUGACUGGGGCGGUCGCCUCCCAAAAAGUAACGGAGGCGCUCAAAGGUUCUCUCAGUACGGUCGGAAAUCGUACGAAGAGUGUAAAGGCAAAAGAGAGCUUGAUUGCAAGACAUACAGGUCGAGCAAGGACGAAAGUCGGACUUAGUGAUCCGGUGGUUCCGCAUGGAAGGGCCAUCGCUCAACGGAUAAAAGCUACCCUGGGGAUAACAGGCUUAUCUCCCCCAAGAGUCCACAUCGACGGGGAGGUUUGGCACCUCGAUGUCGGCUCAUCACAUCCUGGGGCUGUAUUCGGUCCCAAGGGUUCGGCUGUUCGCCGAUUAAAGUGGUACGCGAGCUGGGUUCAGAACGUCGUGAGACAGUUCGGUCCCUAUCCGUCGCAGGCGUAGGAAAUUUGAGAAGACCUGUCCUUAGUACGAGAGGACCGGGAUGGACGUACCUCUGGUGUACCAGUUGUUCUGCCAAGGGCAUGGCUGGGUAGCUAUGUACGGAAUGGAUAAGCGCUGAAAGCAUCUAAGCGCGAAGCCAACUUCAAGAUAAGAUUUCCCACCGUAAGGGUAAGACCCCAGGAAGACUACCUGGUUGA
rnacentral:rRNA from 1 species